rnacentral:ncRNA from 2 species
AUUAAUUUGGGCGAUGGAGUCCGCCUUUAAUAGCCAUGAGGCUGAUGACUCCUACAGGUUG